rnacentral:rRNA from 1 species
AACGUAGGACGCAAGCGUUAUCCGGAGUUACUGGGCGUAAAGCGCGAGCAGGCGGCUUCUUAAGUCUGAUGUGAAAGCGCCCGGCUCAACCGGGCGAGGCCAUUGGAAACUAGGGAGCUGGAGGCAGUAGAGGCAGGCGGAAUCCGGGUGGAGUGGUGAAAUGCGUAGAGAUCCGGAGGAACACCAGAGGCGAAGGCGGCCUGCUGGGCGUGCACCUGACGCUGAGCCGCGAAAGCCAGGGAGCGAACGGG